AUGAAGAAGGAUUCUGUGGCAUUUCAAGACCUGCCAUCGCUGGUCCUUGACAAAAGGCUUCUGAGAGGCAUGGAAAAGAUGACCCUGUUCAAACAUACUGGGCUGCUGGAAGUCUUUCACAGCGCACUUUUGAAAUACCUCCCCAAUGAAGGUUCCUGCACUACAAUGGAGAAGCAUGGUUCAACCAAAUGUUCUGCAUGAGAUCCAAGCAGUGGGUCUUGAAGAAAAUCUUCAUACCACACAGUUUGUAGACGAACUCAUCCAGAAGCCCAUUGAAAAGGCUCAAUCCAAACAUUGUGUUCAAAGUCCCAACCUCCUCACUUGCCCUGCCACAGCCUGCGCUGCCACCAAACAUUGCAUUAGUGCCUAAACCAUCAAAGGAGGCUGCCACGACUUCUUUCAAAAGUCACUUCUGAGACUGACACUUUCUAAUAAUAAUAAUAAUAAUAAUCACUUCUUCCCUGAGUCCUAUUGCUGUGUCUAAUCAAAUUCUGCCACCACUCUUUGUUAUUAUAUACUGUGUUUAUAUGUAAGCAAUAAGGUACGAGAGGCUGUGCUGUAUCGUGAAUAAGUAACGGCUGAAGGGCGUUGUUAGGCACGACGCGAAGCGGAGAACGCUGCUGCCAGAAUUCUGACCAGAACCAAAAAAUCUGAGCACAUCACUCCAGUCCUCAGGUCCUUACACUGGCUUCCUGUUACAUUUAGAAUAGACUUUAAAGUAUUGUUACUCGUUUAUAAAUCACUUCAUGGCUUAGGACCCAAAUACAUGACAGAUAUGCUAACUGAAUAUAAACCUAAAAGAUUACUCAGAUCAUUAGGAUCCGGUCAGUUAGAAAUACCAAGGGUUCACUCAAAACAAGGUGCGUCAGCAUUUAGUUAUUAUGCCACCUCUAGCUGGAAUCAGCUUCCAGAAGAGAUCAGAUGUGCUUCAACAGUAAACACUUUUAAAUCUAGAUUAAAAACACAUCUGUUUAACUCUGCAUUUACUGAAUGAGCACUGUGCUGCUUCACACUGACUGCACCUUUAACUCAAGUCACUUUUACUUCUGUUUUAUUCUUUUUACCUUUUUAAAGUGUUUUUAUUAAAAUCACAUUUAUUUUCUUUAAUUGUUAUUAUGUAUCUUUGUUUUUAUUGUGAUUUUAUUGUGUAUCUAUUAUUUUUACAUUUUCUUUUUUCUCUUUUAUAUAUUGUUUUCUCAUUUCUAUGUAAAGCACUUUGAAUGACCUCUGUGUAUGAAAUGUGCUAUACAAAUAAACUUGCCUUGCCUUG